CUCAUUAAAACAGUUACUAUGUUAUAUUUGAUGGUCACUUACUACGUGGAUAACCGUGGUAAUUCUAGAGCUAAUACAUGCGUAAAGACCCGACUUUUUGGAAGGGUUGUAUUUAUUAGAUAAAGAACCAAGGUCUUCGGACCAGUGGUGAAUCAUAAUAACUGAUCGGAGCUUAGCUUGCUGAGCUAGAUCAUUCAAGUUUCUGACCUAUCAGGUUUCGACGGUAGGGUAUUGGCCUACCGUGCCUAUGACGGGUAACGGGGAAUUAGGGUUCGAUUCCGGAGAGGGAGCCUGAGAGACGGCUACCACAUCUAAGGAAGGCAGCAGGCGCGCAAAUUACCGAAUCCUGACACAGGGAGGUAGUGACAAGAAAUAACAAUACAGGGCAUCCAUGUCUUGUAAUUGGAAUGAGUAGAAUCUAAAUCCCUCUACGAGUAUCAAUUGGAGGGCAAGUCUGGUGCCAGCAGCCGCGGUAAUUCCAGCUCCAAUAGCGUAUAUUUAAGUUGUUGCAGUUAAAAAGCUCGUA
rnacentral:rRNA from 1 species